CAUAGGUUAAUGAGGCGAACCGGGGGAACUGAAACAUCUAAGUACCCCGAGGAAAAGAAAUCAACCGAGAUUCCCCCAGUAGCGGCGAGCGAACGGGGAGCAGCCCAGAGCCUGAAUCAGUGUGUGUGUUAGUGGAAGCGUCUGGAAAGGCGCGCGAUACAGGGUGACAGCCCCGUACACAAAAAUGCACAUGCUGUGAGCUCGAUGAGUAGGGCGGGACACGUGGUAUCCUGUCUGAAUAUGGGGGGACCAUCCUCCAAGGCUAAAUACUCCUGACUGACCGAUAGUGAACCAGUACCGUGAGGGAAAGGCGAAAAGAACCCCGGCGAGGGGAGUGAAAAAGAACCUGAAACCGUGUACGUACAAGCAGUGGGAGCCUCUUUAUGGGGUGACUGCGUACCUUUUGUAUAAUGGGUCAGCGACUUAUAUUCUGUAGCAAGGUUAACCGAAUAGGGGAGCCGAAGGGAAACCGAGUCUUAACUGGGCGUUAAGUUGCAGGGUAUAGACCCGAAACCCGGUGAUCUAGCCAUGGGCAGGUUGAAGGUUGGGUAACACUAACUGGAGGACCGAACCGACUAAUGUUGAAAAAUUAGCGGAUGACUUGUGGCUGGGGGUGAAAGGCCAAUCAAACCGGGAGAUAGCUGGUUCUCCCCGAAAGCUAUUUAGGUAGCGCCUCGUGAAUUCAUCUCCGGGGGUAGAGCACUGUUUCGGCAAGGGGGUCAUCCCGACUUACCAACCCGAUGCAAACUGCGAAUACCGGAGAAUGUUAUCACGGGAGACACACGGCGGGUGCUAACGUCCGUCGUGAAGAGGGAAACAACCCAGACCGCCAGCUAAGGUCCCAAAGUCAUGGUUAAGUGGGAAACGAUGUGGGAAGGCCCAGACAGCCAGGAUGUUGGCUUAGAAGCAGCCAUCAUUUAAAGAAAGCGUAAUAGCUCACUGGUCGAGUCGGCCUGCGCGGAAGAUGUAACGGGGCUAAACCAUGCAC
rnacentral:rRNA from 1 species